AUUGAACGCUGGCGGCAGGCCUAACACAUGCAAGUCGAGCGGUAACAUUUCAAAAGCUUGCUUUUGAAGAUGACGAGCGGCGGACGGGUGAGUAAUGCCUGGGAAUUUGCCCAUUUGUGGGGGAUAACAGUUGGAAACGACUGCUAAUACCGCAUACGCCCUACGGGGGAAAGCAGGGGACCUUCGGGCCUUGCGCUGAUGGAUAAGCCCAGGUGGGAUUAGCUAGUAGGUGAGGUAAAGGCUCACCUAGGCGACGAUCCCUAGCUGGUCUGAGAGGAUGAUCAGCCACACUGGGACUGAGACACGGCCCAGACUCCUACGGGAGGCAGCAGUGGGGAAUAUUGCACAAUGGGGGAAACCCUGAUGCAGCCAUGCCGCGUGUGUGAAGAAGGCCUUCGGGUUGUAAAGCACUUUCAGCGAGGAGGAAAGGGUGUAAGUUAAUACCUUACAUCUGUGACGUUACUCGCAGAAGAAGCACCGGCUAACUCCGUGCCAGCAGCCGCGGUAAUACGGAGGGUGCGAGCGUUAAUCGGAAUUACUGGGCGUAAAGCGUGCGCAGGCGGUUUGUUAAGCGAGAUGUGAAAGCCCCGGGCUCAACCUGGGAACCGCAUUUCGAACUGGCAAACUAGAGUCUUGUAGAGGGGGGUAGAAUUCCAGGUGUAGCGGUGAAAUGCGUAGAGAUCUGGAGGAAUACCGGUGGCGAAGGCGGCCCCCUGGACAAAGACUGACGCUCAGGCACGAAAGCGUGGGGAGCAAACAGG
rnacentral:rRNA from 1 species